rnacentral:rRNA from 1 species
AACCUGCCCAGAAGCAGGGGAUAACACCUGGAAACAGAUGCUAAUACCGUAUAACAGAGAAAACCGCCUGGUUUUCUUUUAAAAGAUGGCUCUGCUAUCACUUCUGGAUGGACCCGCGGCGCAUUAGCUAGUUGGUGAGGUAACGGCUCACCAAGGCGAUGAUGCGUAGCCGACCUGAGAGGGUAAUCGGCCACAUUGGGACUGAGACACGGCCCAG